UGUGUUGACGGAAGACGGACAGAUUACAGAUUUUCCUUCUUGCCUUCGGUACGGCCAAGUAAAACCAAGGUACGCAGCAAAAAUCUACACAAAUGGCGUAUAUAUGACUGGCGAGUUAUAGGAGACAUAGGCCAGAAGUAAUGGAUGUCAUUCAUCAUCCCUGAGGUUUGUGUCUCUUUGGUUGGUUUUCGAACUGUUUCUGAUUGGACACCAUUCAAUGUCUCUGGUAUACUAGAAACUACAUUGAGAGGAAUGAUUGAAUAUUUUAAUUGGUGUACCGGAGUGAGGAAUUGUCACUUAUCCUUAAUUGUCAAAAUUUCCUGCAAGUUUGGAAGGAAGUGGCUAUAAUUGUAUGUUAGUUUACCUUCUAACAAACUGUUUGGAUUGAGAGCAUGGCCCAAUGUUUCUGGUAUACUAGGAACUACAGUGAGAGGGUCGUCCAUACCUUGAGAAAAUAUCCAGUCAACAGAGAUACAAGAACGGCGAGAGACCGCUCUGGAUAUGGCGAAGAAAACUGUGGAACUUAGGAUGUUGGAGAUACCUACGACAGUAAAUAACGUUGUGUGAAUGUGUCAUUGUCUUUAAUUUAUUGUAAAGCCAGUCGUUUGUCUGAGCGCAAACUAACUUCUGGCGUUAAUUAUCCCUAUUUCGUCUAUCCAAUCGUUGAGAAUGGUUUAGUGCUACACGUCGAAUUACAGGGCAAAAUAUAAUCCUCAAUUUCAAAAAGAGCCAUGCACCAAUGACAUUUCUCAUGGCAAGUUUUAUAUGCUCUUGGAUGCAGCAAAAUAUUGACAAGUUUUAAAUGCUAAAGGGGCUGAUUCAAAAGCUGUUCAUGAUAGAAUUACUCGUAUUUACAGCCGACCUGGAAAAACAUACUGUCGUACCUACGACAGAAUAUUACCAGGACAAGACACUUGUAUCAUUGUGUAUGUCAAGAAACGAACCUAUACUCUUCCAAUUCUGUUUUUCGCUUUCAAAUACAAGUGUUUAGUCGACAGCGUUUAAAAUAAAACGUCGCUAUGAUAACUGCAGUAAAGCUUUGUCAUGGAGGCACCUUGAAUGGCUUUAAUGGUGAUAUGAUUUUUAUAAUAUCAUGGUUGCAAGAUCUCGCAUUUUAAGUUGAUUGAAUACUACUAGCAUUAAAUUAUGCUCUGUAGGCAAACCUUGCAGGAUUUGGAAAAAUCAUUACUUUUUCUGAGAAAGAUUUUGAUGAAGCCUUCGGUAGGAUUUUGAAUCAAGAAAUUAUUAUAUCGACUACAUAUUUUGAUGAAUUAGAAAUCAUUGCGUUAUUUCCGGUAAAUAUUAAACAAAACUUUACAGAUGAGAGUCAUGAGACGUGAUCUACUUUGUGUUAAGUUUUUCGAUUUUUGUAGUAUUACUGUUUUGUAUUCUCAAGCGAUACUAUGUAGUCGAUACCUAUUGAAGUCAUUCGGUUCUCUCCAUUUCCUUAAACAGGGUUAUUUAUUAUUAACUUUACUAUCACAUGCAUGAUAAGUAUUUGUUACGUGAGAAAUGUAAUGUUUGUUGUUCCAGGUGAUCUGGAAUGGCGGUUGAGGACUGGGACUGGGGGUAGUUGUGAUGAAAAUCCAUUUCUCGGUUGAAACAACUUGAAAUAUAUUUUAUUACGGUUUCAAAUUUAUGUCAGAGCUAUAGUUCGUAUUACUUAACAUGCAUAAUCACAAAAUUUCUUCAAGUCAGUUCAUAUUUAAUUUAUAAAGAAUAACAUAAGAUAUAAACCAUUUAAUAUUGCAGAAUGAAUUAGUAUUUUGACAGACAACCCUUCCGAGCGCUGAUUUACUAAAAAAUGAGUGCGAGAUU